rnacentral:rRNA from 1 species
AUAACGACUCUCGGCAACGGAUAUCUCGGCUCUCGCAUCGAUGAAGAACGUAGCGAAAUGCGAUACUUGGUGUGAAUUGCAGAAUCCCGUGAACCAUCGAGUCUUUGAACGCAAGUUGCGCCCCAAGCCUUCAGGCCGAGGGCACGUCUGCCUGGGUGUCACG